AUUUUCUAAUGUAGUUUAAUAUAUAUUAUUGCAGUUAUUAAAUCAAAUAGUGUGUGAGCUACCUCCAGAGCACCCGGUUUCUAGUGUUAGGCCUCUACGGGAUUCACUUGGUCAUACUCCAUUGCAGGUUUUUGCAGGUGCAGUGUUGGGGUGUAUAGUGGCAUAUCUAAUGAGUUCCAGUUAGCAGUGGGUAAUCCAGUGAUUGUUUAUGACCUGACAAGUGUUCAUUCAACAGGCUGUUGAGGUCGUGCGAUUAUUCAACAGGAGACUUCCCUAGUCUCCAAGUCUGCCGUUCUGUCAAUAGGAAAAGAGACUGAGCAAAAAUGUCUGCCAAGUUUGUACUCACAAUUCAACUGUGAAUAGUUAGAAAGAGUGAAACACUGAAACUUCUAACAGUUUGACAAUAUAUAUAAAUAUGCUCAUGUGCUCAAGCA